rnacentral:rRNA from 1 species
GAUGAACGCUGGCGGCGUGCCUAAUACAUGCAAGUCGAGCGAACAGACGAGGAGCUUGCUCCUCUGACGUUAGCGGCGGACGGGUGAGUAACACGUGGAUAACCGACCUAUAAGACUGGGAUAACUUCGGGAAACCGGAGCUAAUACCGGAUAAUAUAUUGAACCGCAUGGUUCAAUAGUGAAAGACGGUUUUGCUGUCACUUAUAGAUGGUUCCGCGCCGCAUUAGCUAGUUGGUAAGGUAACGGCUUACCAAGGCAACGAUGCGUAGCCGACCUGAGAGGGUGAUCGGCCACACUGGAACUGAGACACGGUCCAGACUCCUACGGGAGGCAGCAGGAGGGAAUCUUCCGCAAUGGGCGAAAGCCUGACGGAGCAACGCCGCGUGAGUGAUGAAGGUCUUCGGAUCGUAAAACUCUGUUAUUAGGGAAGAACAAAUGUGUAAGUAACUAUGCACGUCUUGACGGUACCUAAUCAGAAAGCCACGGCUAACUACGU